rnacentral:rRNA from 1 species
AUUGAACGCUGGCGGCAGGCCUAACACAUGCAAGUCGAGCGGAUGAAGGGAGCUUGCUCCUGGAUUCAGCGGCGGACGGGUGAGUAAUGCCUAGGAAUCUGCCUGGUAGUGGGGGAUAACGUCCGGAAACGGGCGCUAAUACCGCAUACGUCCUGAUGGAGAAAGUGGGGGAUCUUCGGACCUCACGCUAUCAGAUGAGCCUAGGUCGGAUUAGCUAGUUGGUGGGGUAAAGGCCUACCAAGGCGACGAUCCGUAACUGGUCUGAGAGGAUGAUCAGUCACACUGGAACUGAGACACGGUCCAGACUCCUACGGGAGGCAGCAGUGGGGAAUAUUGGACAAUGGGCGAAAGCCUGAUCCAGCCAUGCCGCGUGUGUGAAGAAGGUCUUCGGAUUGUAAAGCACUUUAAGUUGGGAGGAAGGGCAGUAAGUUAAUACCUUGCUGUUUUGACGUUACCAACAGAAUAAGCACCGGCUAACCUCGUG